UGGCUCUCGCAUCGAUGAAGAACGCAGCGAAAUGCGAUAAGUAAUGUGAAUUGCAGAAUUCAGUGAAUCAUCGAAUCUUUGAACGCACCUUGCGCUCCUUGGUAUUCCGAGGAGCAUGCCUGUUUGAGUGUCAUGAAAUCUUCAACUUACAAGCUCUUUGCGGGGUUUGUAGGCUUGGACUUGGAGGCUUGUCGGCCUUUAACGGUCGGCUCCUCUUAAAUGCAUUAGCUUGAUUUCUUUGCGGAUCGGCUGUCGGUGUGAUAAUGUCUACUCCGCGACCGUGAAGCGUUUGGCAAGCUUCUAACCGUCUCGUUACAGAGACAGCUUUAUGACCUCUGACCUCAAAUCAGGUAGGACUACCCGCUGA
rnacentral:misc_RNA from 1 species